AAACACGCCAAAGGCCUGUUUUGUCUCUGCACUAUAACCAGCAGAGCAGGGAGGAAGCUCAUGUAGAAGUCCACAGGAAUCUAGAUGCUUUACCCACUUGGCUUCAGAGAGGAACCUCAGGAAAACACGGCAAGAUCUGAACCAAAGAGAUUAGUAAAUGCAAGCAACCAGUCAAGUCUGAAGAACUGACAGCAGCAAUUUCGCUGUGGGGCUGAUCUGUGGCAGCCCAAUGCUGUUUGCUAUCAGGGGACGGGCUUCUCUGGAGUGCUGCACCAAAGUCAAGAUGUCUCGUCUUCACAAAGAUUGCCUUGAGCAGCUCUUGUACAGAAAGGAAGCCAAAUGAAAGCAGAAUGAAGCAAACUGAGCAGAAAAGCAGCAGAAUCUGAAGCUCCGAUGUGUGAACCAAAAUGGACACAGGUUAGCUCCACAGAAUUCAGCAUCCUGUUUUUACACAAGACUCAGGAAAAAGACAUUCAUACUUGAGAUGCCUGAAAGGCUCCAAUCAAGCUCUUCAUAUUUACUAAGAAUGUAAACAAAAUGACAUGACCUCAGUAGGAAUCAUUUACUCCAUACUUUUUACAAAAGAGAAUAAACAUAUGGAAGGAAUUACAGAAAGGGAGACAGUAAAGAAAACUAGUUCAUCAGAGAAAUGUUUUGUAUAAAAAUUAUAUAUGAAAGGGAAAAAAAAAAGGUAAGGAUAGAAAAAUGGGUCCUUUGGCCAAAUGUUUCUUACAUUCUUGAUAAAGUUUUAAGAGCAGUUGCUGCAAGAAUGUAUAAUCAGAUGUCAGGAAGCAACAGUCUGUGUGUCAUAUGCAAGGAAGGAAUUUUAUCAGGUUCCAUUUUUAGGGAGCCUUAAAAUACUGCAAUGGGAAAAAGAAAAAAAAGACCAACACCCACAAAAAAACUCAAAAAAACCCCAAACCACAAAAAGCAUUUUAAAAAAUCACAGACCAUCACAGACCCAUAAAACAUAGAGAUUACUAGGAAUCUGGGACCUAAUGUGGCUGAAGUUUAUUAUGAAGCAUAGCAGAAGAACCAGGGGCAGGGAACCCCAGGGGACCUGGCAUAAGCACCAGGAAGAAGAUCAGGAUGGGACUGGGCGCUUUUGCUGCUUGGUGAUCCUGCUCAACAGGAGGUUCCCCAGUGAGAGCAGCUGCUCUGCUGCCCUCAGGAUGGAGGAUGCAGGAAUGAUCAGAAUCUAAAAUACUGUGUAAGUCACAAACAAUACAAAUGGGCUGAAUGGCUCAAACCCAGACGGCUCCAUGUGCCUUUCAGCUCCUUGGAUUCUAUAAGAGACUCAGUGACUUCUAUCCAGACCUCCAGCUCAAUGGGGAGACACUUGGGAAGGACGCAUCGAACGCUGUCAAGUGAAACCUUGGAAGACUGAGCAGUUGUGGGACAUCAUGAACUCAGUUUCUUGUUGGAGAUUAUUAAUUUGGUUCAGCUGACAAUCUUUUUACUAGCUUGCAAGUUAUAGUGUUAUUUUUACAACUUUAUGAGAAAAGAAAUCCACACAAAGUUACCAAAAACGUAGGAUUUGAAGUGACAUCAUCGGGCUAUAUUACAAGAAGAUUAGCAGUGAGCCUGGGCAGAAGCUUUAAGAACCAGAGGCACCAGGAGUAUUAGAGUCAAAGUUCGAACACAAGUUAAUUAGGCUCAAAAUAUUGCACUAAUCUGUUCUGCAAAUAUGGGCUUAAAACCUGUUUCAGGGGCUUGAUUUCUAGAGAAGAGGUAUCUCUGUAGAGCUAAGGUGUGGCACAGGUGUCUUCAGGAUAUCACUGAUCUUAUUUUGUGCCUAUUCAUAGAAGAACCACGACUCAAGUGACCUGAGUUGACAGACCCUUUUUGUUUUUGUGGGUACCUGCAAAAUAGACCACCAAAGCCAGUUUGAUCAGAAUAAAAGCUGAAGACUGAACUGGCAGACAGAAUAGCCUGGAUCUGCCAAGGAUGCUGGGCAGCAUGAUGAAGCUUGUAGUGCUGCUGCCUUAGGUUCCCCUGCUUCAUGUUAAAACCAGCAAUUUCUGUUUCCCUGGCUGUCAAUGUGUAUCUUCCACAGCCAUCACAUUAAUUUCACAAAUGGGGAAGACCAUCUGCAAACACCAUAGACUUGUUAUGAUAGGAAUUUCACCACUGAAACUUCUAAGAAUUAUUGAAAAUAUUUUAAGAAUUGAACUGGAUGCUCCAAGCUUUACUUUCACUGAAAAUGCAUUUUGUCCCUUGCUUCAUAGGGAGCAAAACUGGAGCAACACAACACUGAGCACUGUUGAAAAUCCCAUUAUAACUGUGUUUAUUCAAAUCGGAGAUGUUGGAAUUGCAUUUUACACUCAGCGUAUUCUCAAUUAGCAAUCAAAAAUGUUAUUUUGGAUGUCAGCAAGAGAGGUGUCUAGAUUAAUUGAACCCUUCCACCCCUAACUACAAAACAUAGCUUAUUUUUCUUACGAGAACGAGCAGCAUGCCAGCCUGCUGUAUGGGUGGGGAACCUGAAUGCGGAGAGCGUGCCAGACCCAAUCACUCAGCGCUGCGGUGUGAAUAGCUGAUUAAGCCUCUUUGUAGCAAUGGCUAUAGUGUGGCCUGCCUAGACAGGCAGACGGAUUUAUUUAACCAAUGGACCGUAUACUUAAUAUUAGAUCAAGUGAUAGACAUACACUGAAGGAGGCAGUGGGUCCAAUUGUUGUGAAGAAUACACCAGCAUCCUUCUGGAUCACUCAGGAGUGACAGUGCAAGCAAUAACACAACGAAGUCAUUGUUAUAAUAAACUUUCAUGGUUUCUUUUGGUUUUAAAGGCAAGAUUUCUUGUGAAGACUUGUGAAGACUUUAGGAUCCCUCCAUCAUAAAAUGGUGGGUGAAUUAUUUCUGCUUUGGUUAGUUUAUUGUCAUAUAAACAUGAUAGAAGCAAGCAGGCCAAUGAAAUGCAGUAGUACUAAACAUUUUCACACUAUAUUAAGGUAUGUAAAAUCAAUGUUUUAAGACAUUAUUUCAGUUCUAAGUUACACACAUACGAUACUCUAAACCACCCUGAAAUAGAGCCUGAUGUCUAAAUUGCCACCAAACUCCCAAGCUCAAGAGGGAGGCUCACACUUUCUUCACUGUUGGAAUCACUUCUCAACAGCAAUGGCCUCCGUAUCUCCACCUCCAGACUGCAUCUGAACCCUCCGGUAACUGCAACAACUGCUCAGCUAUUAAAUGACUUAAAAAAAACCACCAAACAUAUUUUUAUCAUCUUUUCAGGGUACUUAGAAGCUACAAGUAAGAAAGGGGUACUUGUGUGGUGUGAUCCUGGCAAAGUACAAGCAAAGGCUAUUUGGCCACCGUUUUGGUACAGACAGCCCAUGCUUACCCCAAGUCCCCUUCUCUCCUUUCUUUAGAGAAAUCCCUUUGGUAAUUCAAUACUGCAAUAUCUUUCAAAUCGAAGGAUUUAAGCCAAUUGCUCUGACAGACAUCUAGGAGAUUCCCCACCCUAAGGACGAAAGCAUGAAUUUUAGCACAAGUCAGUGUGAAAAAGCUACUUCAAAGAAACAGCAAUACAACCCACAAUUCUAUAAACUACUUGAAAUGAUCCCUCUACACAUUCAUUAGACUGAGAAGGGGCAUGCCAUUGCAUACAGCUACUCCUGGCCUUAAUGCUGCUUUCUGGCCUCUGAUGUUCAAGGCAUGGCCUUAGGGAAAACAGCAACUUUUAGAAAGGAGCAGUAGGCUUUUUAAGGUAUCUGUCUAUCCAGACAGAUGUCCUCCUCUGGGUAAUAGCAUAAGUCUCAUCACUUCUGUUACUUACAAAGGGGUUUUACAACUGAGGGGCUAAUUAAAAGAGAAAAAUUAAAGAGUCAAGAACUGUGUUUAGCAAUGCAGAAAAAUCUGUUCUGGAAGAGAUACCUUAGAGAAAGCUGGUAAUCACACUCAGUGCAAGCAAUUAUCUGUUAGUCGGUAACAUUUCAGUAAAUACUCAUUUGUGCUUUUAACAAAAUAAAGGUCUUUCUCAAAUCAA